rnacentral:lncRNA from 1 species
AACACAAGAGAAGUAAUAAAGAAAGAAUAUAUAGCAAAAUCCGGCAGCACCUCCUUUGAAAACUAGCAUAACAAGGAGGGGAAACAUGAAGCUCAUACAAGAUAUAAAGACAUAUAAUUCACAUAGUAGAAACUGAAAUGCAAAAGUGGUAAAACUUAAUUAUGACCCAACUGAAGCAAAACAAAUGGGAUAAGAAACUCAGCCCACCCCAAAAUAAACGCUCAACCAAGAACAAAGCAAUUCACUAGACUUGUCCAACUCUGAUUAACAACAUUAUUAAAUGGUGGUUCCUUUAUUAAAGGUGUAGUGGCCGUGCUGCUACAUCCCUCUAUUCCCAAAGCAGAAAUUAGGUGCCUGCAUCAAACAAUGCAAGAUGUGAGAUAACACAUCUCAGCAAGUAAACAUAACAACAACAAAUAGGACAUUGUAAAUCAACUGUGCUUACACAACCACGUGUUCAGGACUUCUUUCUUUUCUUUUGAACAGUAAAUUGCAGCAAGUAAACAAGUAACUAAAAGCUCAACGCCAAGUAGAAUCACCAUGCACAAGUCCAAAUUAUCCACAUCCACAUAAUAGAUUCAACACCUCUCCCAUGAAUGCACAUGGCUACAAAUGCAAUAAUGACUUCUGCCUCCAUAUCUCUAAGGAUAUGAAGCUGCACCAUACCCCUUCUCGGGCAACAUAUGAUGCUCAAUGUACCGGUACGGUCGGACCAUAAGAUCGCGAUGAAACUUCAAUGCAAUGGAUGAUGAGUGCAUUAUGCAUGACAACAUCAUAAGUUCUUCCCAAAUAAAAAUGUGAUAGGCAUUUACUUCCAACCAUUCCACAUAAUAACCACUUGAGUAACAUAAUCAAACCUCAAACUCAACAUACGAAAUCCAUGAAACAUGAACAUUUUCAAAUGAUGGUACUCAAAAGAAAAUAUGAAUUUGAACAUGAUAGCACAACAUAAACAAGUAUAAGACUCCUCAUCUGACAAACGGAAUAACCAUCACAGUUUUACUUGCCUUCACCGAAGUUUGGGCAAAAUCUCUAAGAACGAUCCGGAAGUCCACCACCUGUUUUUGACACCCAACUUAGUGCACCAAAUUCACAUAAAAAAACUCAAAGACAACACCGCACCUACGCGCAAUCUCAACCCCGCCGCGGUAACAAUUCUCCCCUCACUAACCAAACUGCAGCGGCGCUGCUUAACAAUUCCAUAACUUAAAAAUUAGGACAGCAGUGGUGUCAAACAAAAACUUCAGAGACAACUACAUAAAAUUUCCCACAAGUUUUGUAUACGACUCAUGAUUAAAUUCUAACAUCUAAUUACCUCUAAACGGUCCACAAAAAUAAACCCUGCAAUCUGUUUUUUUCUGAUUUGGGCAGCGACAUACUCGGAUUCAAACAGCGAUAACUUUUAAAAUAUAAUUCCGAUUUGAGCGCAUAAGUACUUGUUGGAAAGAUAAGAAAAAGCCCUACAUGAUUCUCAUACUGAUUAACACUAAUUACUCCCGAAAAAUCCCCAGAAACUGCUAAUACUGCUGCUGUUCAUCACUCUGAAAAAUCUGUUUUUUUGGACAGCCACACACCCGGAUUCAAACGAUGAUAACUUUUAAUUUAUAACUCCAAAUUGAGCGCAUAAAUACUCGUUGGAAAGGUAAAACAAAGUUCUACAAGAUCCCCAAAUUGAUCCCCAUUAAUUCUUCACGAAAAAACCCUAAAAACUGCUAGAACUUCCGCUGUUCAUCCACCACGUAAAAUUCUGGACAGCCCCCCUCUAUCUAAUCGCAAACGCAACAUCUAAUCAAUUGAAUCGCAGCGCAAAUGAACAAGGGAUGAACACAAAAAUCACCUUGGGUUCUCCCCCUUUCCUUCCUCCCUUCUUCCCUCCACCAAAACGGUUGGAGAAUCGCACCACGAGACGACGAUCCGAGCGGCAAGGAUUGGCACCUUGGGAGGAGGGGAUUGAGGGGGGCGGCUAGGGUUUGGUGGCUGCAAAAAUUGAGAGAGGAGGUGAUAGGCAGGGGGGGCGGCGGCCAAGGGGAGGAGAAGUGGGGGGCGGCUGCACAUGGGGGGAGGGGGUUAGGAGGGAGGCGGCUAGGGUUUGGGAGGGUUAAUGGGCCGAAACACCUAUUGCGGCCCAACUAACCCACGCGACAGCUCCCGACCGCAACGCUAGCGUCAAACCAAAUAAAUUCUACUGCCCUAGUUGUGAAUGUUUUUCACAAAAUUCCAAAUCCCCAAAACAACAACCGGAUGAGGAAAAAAAACAAAAAGAACAACCCCCAACUUCUCUUCUUUGCAAACCGGGUAUCACACUCUACCCCUCUUAAAAAGAAUUCGACCUCGAAUUCUGACGCUUCUAUCGGAAUGAAAAAAGAAAAUAUUAAUGAAUCAACAACACUUACCCACAACGAAAAGUUCUGGGUACAUCUGCCGCAUCAGCUCCUCAAGUUCCCACGUAGCCUCACGCUCAGACUGAUUAGUCCAUAAGACCUUGACAUACUUAAUUGAUCUCUUCCUCAACACACGCUCCGAGAAUUCCAAUAUACGCAUCGGACGACACUCUAGAGUCAGAUCCUGCUACACCGCAAUUGGUUCCAUCUCAAUCUGAUGGUCCGGAUCCCGCAAGAACUUCCUCAACAUAGAGACAUGAAAAACCGGGUGUACCCCCGCCAUGGAAUCCGGCAGUAGCAAGCGAUAAGCCAGGCUGCCCACUCGAGCCAAGAUAGUGAACGGUCCAAUGUAUCUCGGGCUGAGCUUCCCAGAGACACCGAACCGAACAACUCCCUUAGUGGGUGAUACCCUGAGAAGGACUUGGUCACCCACAGCAAAUUCUAGAUCCCGCCUCCUCACAUCAGCAUAACACUUCUGACGACUCUGAGCUGCCACAAUAUUCUGACGAAUUUCCCGAACCUUUUCAGAAGUUUGCUGAACCCAAUCAGGACCAACCAGGGAUCUCUCUCCCAAAGUCUCCCAGCACAGAGGAGAGAUACACCGCCUGCCAUACAAAGCCUCAAAUGGUGCCAUCUUGAUGCUAGCCUGGUAGCUGUUGUUAUAAGCAAACUCUGCCAGAGCAAGAUGAUCCUCCCAGCUACCCUUCCAUGACAGAACACAAGCACGCAACAUGUCUUCCAAGGUUUAGAUUGUUCGCUCUGACUGACCAUCCGUCUGAGGGUGAAAAGCGACACUAAGCGAAAGCUUGGUGCCCAAAGCACUAUGGAGACCCUCCCAGAAUUUGGAUACAAAUUUGGAGUCUCGAUCAGAAACAAUAGACUUAGGUACCCCGUGAAGCCUGACUACUUCCUUCAUAUACAAGGGAACCAAAUCUGAAGCUGAAUUUGUGGUCUUCAUGGGAAUAAAAUGCGCAGACUUAGUCAAGCGAUCCACUACCACCCAAAUAGCAUCCCUGCCAUGAGGGGAACGAGGUAGACCCACCACAAAAUCCAUGGUGAUAUGCUCCCAUUUCCACUCCGGAAUUUCUAAUGGCUUCAGCAAACCUGCAGGCCGCUUAUGCUCGGCCUUCACGCGCUGACAUACUUCACAGGCGGCCACAUACUUAGAAACGUCAACCUUCAUCCGCUUCCACCAGAAGUUUUGCUUCAAAUCUCGGUACAUUUUGGUUUCGCCAGGAUGGACGGUGUAAGGCGUUUUAUGAGCUUCUCUCAAGAUAUCCAUUUUCACCUCUGAUUUCUGAGGCACACAGAGGCGGCCCCUGAAACGAACCAAAUCAUUCUCAUCAAUGGUGAACUCCCGCGGUUUACCAUCACCCACCCUCUUUCGAGCUUCCUGCAAUAGACGAUCCUGCUGCUGAGCCGCACGCACUCUCUCCAUGAGAGAGGAUUGAAUAAGCAUCUAAGUCUCCUUGCUAGCAGUGCCGACAUAACACAAAGCGAUCCCCAAACGGUCCAGAUCAGCGAUCAACGGCAAGGCCACCUUUGGAACCCCGGACCUGCUAAGGGCAUCAGUCACCACAUUAGCCUUCCCCGGGUGAUAAUGAAUGGACAAAUCAUAAUCUUUAAUCAAUUCCAGCCACCGUCGCUGCCUCAAAUUCAGCUCCUUUUGAGUAAAAAUAUACUUGAGACUUUUGUGAUCGGUGAAAAUGUCACAAGCCUCGCCAUAAAGGUAAUGCCUCCACGACUUUAGAGCAAAAACCACCGCGGCCAAUUCCAGAUCAUGAGUUGGAUAAUUCCCCUCAUGCUUCCUCAACUGCCUUGAGCCAUAAGCAAUCACUCUGCCUUCCUGCAUCAGCACACAGCCAAGACCAAUACGCGAAGCAUCCGUAUAAACUGUGAAACGCUUACCUCUCUCAGGCAAAGCUAGGAUAGGGGCGUCCACCAACUUGCUCUUCAAUGACUGAUAACUGACCUCACAUUCGCCGGACCAGACGAAGGGAACACCCUUCUCCAAGAGCCUAGUCAAAGGCUUAGCAAUGCUGGAAAAAUUUGGUACGAAGUGCCGAUAAUACCCAGCAAGCCCCAAGAAACUUCGGAUUUCAGAGACACUAGAAGGUCUCUUCCACUCCACCACAGCCGCAACAUUCUUGGGAUCAACCGCAAUACCAUGCUGAUUAAUCACGUGCCCCAGGAAAGCCACUUCGGAAAGCCAAAAGGCACACUUCUUCAACUUGCCAUAGAAUUGAUUCUUCCUUAGGGCACCCAGAACGAGACGGAGAUGCUGUUCAUGCUCGACCUCGGUCUUUGAAUAAAUCAAAAUAUCAUCCAGGAAUACGACCACAAAAUCGUCCAGGAAUUCAUGUAGCAUCCUAUUCAUCGCUUCCAUAAAGGCAGCAGGGGCAUUAGUUAAGCCAAAAGACAUGACUAUGAACUCAUAAUGCCCAUACUUGGUGCAAAAGGCGGUCUUCUCAAUAUCCUCCUCACGAAUCCUCAAUUGAUGAUAACCGGAGUUCAAAUCAAUUUUGGAGAACACCUGGGCACCCCUCAACUGCUCAAAGAGGACCUCAAUUUGGGGAAGCGGAUAUUUAUUCUUGAUUGUCACUUGAUUCAAAGCGCGAUAAUCCACACACAGCCGCUUGCUUUUAUCCUUCUUCUCAACAAACAAUACCGGGGAAGCCCAUGUGGACCUGCUAGGCCUAAUGAAGCCCUUAGCCAGCAGAUCAUCCAAUUGCCGCUUUAAUUCAAUCUGCUCCUUUGGAGCCAUUCGAUAUGGGGCCUUAUGAAUAGGCUGCGUACCCGGGAUCAGCUUAAUCUCAAAAGCUGCAUCGCGCUCCGGAGGAAUGCCUGGAAGCUCUGCCGGAAACACGUCAGCAAAGUCACACACCACCCGGAUGUCCUGCACCCGCAAGGCAGCCUAACCCUCCACCACCAUAGAGAAAAAGAUCCCCGACUUCCUUGACCGGCGAUCAGGAAGCAAUUGCGCCAACAAGGAUAAUGUGAACUUCGGGGAACUUCCCAAGAAUACCACCUCCUUACCCGACGGCGCAUGCAAUAACACUGUCUUCCAGAAGCAGGAUAUAACCACGCGAUACUGCGAUAACCAAUCCAUACCCAAGAUAACAUCGAAUGCCCCCAAGGAAAUCACCAACAGAUUGGCCGAAAAAACCUCAUCAGCAAGAAUGACGGAACACCCCUGACAAACUGAACAGCUACUAAUGGAGCCAUUAGCAGAACUAACCAAAAUUGGGUGACCCAACCUCUGCACCGAAAGACCAGCCCGCGACACAAAAUCCUCCGAAAGAAACGAAUAGCUAGCGCCAGAGUCAAAAAGAGCAUGGGCUGCAAAUGAAUCAACUGAAAUCGUACCUGUCACCACGUCUCCUUGCUCCCUGCCAUCCAUAGCGGGUAGCACAUAAGCUCCAGAAAUACCCGCAGAAGAGGAAGCUCCCGGAGUGAAAUUAACAGAAGAACCCCACUGAGCCACCGGGGGAGGCUGGCGCGGAGCUCCAAACUGAGUCAGCACAGGGGUAGAUGGUGCAGGAGUAGGCGCGACCUGAUACUGAGGGACACCCUGCAUCGGCACGAACUGAGAAGUCCCAGACACAUAAAGCUGCUGUGGAGGAAGAGGAACUGAAAAUUGCUGCUCAACACUUGACAUCAUGUUGAUAGUGCCCUGAGAAGAGGAGGAAGUCACCGGCUCCCAUCUGAGCUUCCCAUUGGGAUUCCUCCUACACACCACAUCCUUGUGGUCCUGACUGCAGAUCGAACACCUGCCACUCCACUGGCACUCUGCACGGCGAUGCGCAUCUCCACAGCGGAAACACACCAGCCCCAGCCCGGGCUUAGGAACUGCCCGAAACCUCUGAGUACUUCCUCCCGAAGUACCCGAGUCAGAAGAUUUGCCACGGUAAGGAUGGUGGCGCUGAUGCUGAGACUUGCCCCUCUUGUGAGCUGGACCUCCAGUGUUGCCCCUCCUCGUGUCCUGGCUACGAGGCUGAUCAACACCCGAAGACUUCUGCGACUCUAUGGUAUACUGGUGUUGCAUCUCCACACCCAGCGCCUGCUCCACUGUGGUACGGAAGUCCACCAACGGAAAGGCCCCCAGUGCAUGCCUGAUAGAAGGCUUUAGACCCUGACGGAAUUGGCUCGCCUUCUCCAUCUCAUUAUAAGCCACAUGAGGGACAAAGCGGACCAUCUUGUUGAAGCCCACCUCAUACUCUGUGACAGACUUCUUCUCCUGCUUAUAGGACUGCAAGUCAAUCUUCAUUUUCUCCAGAAAGGUGACCGAGUAGAAUCUCCUUUCGAACUGCCUGAUGAAAACAUCCCAUGAUAGGACUCCUGGUGAGGAGGAGUGCGCUGCCUGCACGCCUCUCCACCAAAUUUGCGCCUCUCCCUUCAGCAGCUGAGUGCCAAAGCGAACCCGAUCUCCAUAUGCAAUCUCGAAGACAUUCAUCUUAUCCUCCACAUAAGUCAACCAAUCUGCCGCCUCGACCGGAGUACCACUGCCAUCAAAAGAAUCCAACUUCAUGCCCAUCCACUGCAUCAGAGAAAGACCACUGACUGGAAGAGGCACCUCGGCCCCGCCACCUGGAACAGCACCCGCAGGGACAGCGCCCCCGGGCACUUCUCCACCUCCAGCACCCUGAGUAGCUCCCGCAGGGGCGACAGGAAUGGCUUGCCUCAGAAGGGCCAACUCCUGCUGCAUGGCCUGCAUCGCGGCUAACAUUGCUGCCGGACUCAUCGAGUCCCCACUAGGAGCUUGCAGACUACCCCGAGCUCUACGAGGCGGCAUAGCUGCAGCCACAGGGAUGAGUACAAUAAGUAAAUGAGAUAAGCAUAGCAUCUCUUCAGAUAAUGUCAAAGCUAGCACAGACCAUAACAUAAUCAUAUCAAUAGCAAGACAGAAAUCCCAUCCUACAUGUGCAGUGUGUCAAUUUAUUACUACUCCACUUGCUAGGACCUACAGCCUAUUGCUCUGAUACCAACUGUAACACCCCACUGGUCACAUACAAUGGAUAAUAUCACAAACCCCACCCACCAAACUUACUCAACACAAGAGAAGUGAACAUCUUCAUCUCCCUCGUCAUGUGGUUUGUGCAUCCGCUGUCGAUAAUCCAGCUUGAGCCCCUGGAUGCACAAACCUGCAAGACAAUUUACGCUUGGGUUUUAGGUACCCAACUCUUGUUGGGUCCUACAAGGUUAGUUACAAUAGCUUUUGGUACCCAAAUGCAAGCCUUGUCUCCUUUGCAUUUGGGUCCCAAUUUUUUAGCAACCAAUUUUUCAUUUUUACAUGAAAGUACAAACUUAGUGUUGCAAGCAUGAAAGACAGUAGUAGGUUUAUUACACAUUUUCCUAGGAGCAUGAGACACAAAAUUUCUAUUAGGCCUACCAUUAAAAUUGGAACCUGAAGUGAACAUAGCAUGUGAAUCAUAAGCAUCAUAAUCAUAUCUCCUAUUAUCAGUAGCAAUUUUCCUAUUAUACAUGAAAGCAUGAUUCUUUUGACCACUACUAGCCAUAGGGGCCUUCCCUUUUUCUCUUUGUUGGAAAUGGGAGCCCUUUGGCUUGUUAAGUUCUUGGCUUCCUUUCGAAAGCCAAGUCCAUCCUUAAUUAAGGGGUGUGUACCAAUAGUGUAGGCAUCCCUAGCAAAUUUUAGCUUAUCAAAAUCAACCUUACAAGUCUUAAGUUGAGCAUUAAGACUUUCCACCUCAUCAUUUAAUUUAGCAAUAGAAGCAUGAUGUUCAUCACAAGCAUUGAUAUCAAAAUCCUUACAUCUAUUGCAAAUUACAACAUGUUCUACACAUGAACUUGGUUUAUUAGCUACCUCUAGAUUAGCACUUAAUCAUCAUUCAAAGUCUUUAAACUAGAGAUAGAUUCAUUGCAAGUGGAUAACUCAGAAGAUAGUAAUUCAUUUCUCUUAAUCUCUAAGGCAAGAGACUUUUGAACACUAACAAAUUUGUCAUGUUCCUCAUACAAAAUGUCCUCUUGCCUCUCUAGCAGUCUAUCCUUUUCAUUUAAAGCAUCAAUCAAUUCAUUGAUCUUUUCUACCUUUGCUCUAUCUAAGCCUUUGAAUAAGCUAGAAUAAUCUACUUCAUCAUCACUAGAAUCAUCAUCGCUUGAAGUAGUAUACUUAGGGGUUUCUCGAACGCUUACCUUUUUCUCCUUUGCCAUGAGGCAAGUGUGGCGUUCGUUGGGGAAGUGUAACGCCCUGAAUUUGGGGGUAGAAUUUUUUCUUCUUUUCACUCACCAAAUUCGGGCGUUACUCUCUUUUCUCUUCCCGUUUCGCUCCUUCUUCCCAAUUUCAAACCAGUAUAGUGACAGGUGUCCGUGUCAUGUAUAAACAAAACUUAAGUGUCAUGGGUGUUGCAUCAUGCCGAAGCACAUUUCUUUGUCUGAUGUCGCGUGUUCGUCUUGUUCCGUUUCGGAUUUCGGUUCGCGAUUGGAUUCCGUUUAAUGGUCGUGCGUGUCGUGGGUUUCGAUCCGCGGUGUGGCCCAGCCCAGCCCGAUCCGGCUCAGUCCGGCCCGCGCGCCCCUGCUGUAACACCCCACUGGUCACAUACAAUGGAUAAUACCACAAACCCCACCCACCAAACUUACUCAACACAAGAGAAGUAAUAAAGAAAGAAUAUAUAGCAAAAUCCGGCAGCACCUCCUUUGAAAACUAGCAUAACAAGGAGGGGAAACAUGAAGCUCAUACAAGAUAUAAAGACAUAUAAUUCACAUAGUAGAAACUGAAAUGCAAAAGUGGUAAAACUUAAUUAUGACCCAACUGAAGCAAAACAAAUGGGAUAAGAAACUCAGCCCACCCCAAAAUAAACGCUCAACCAAGAACAAAGCAAUUCACUAGACUUGUCCAACUCUGAUUAACAACAUUAUUAAAUGGUGGUUCCUUUAUUAAAGGUGUAGUGGCCGUGCUGCUACAUCCCUCUAUUCCCAAAGCAGAAAUUAGGUGCCUGCAUCAAACAAUGCAAGAUGUGAGAUAACACAUCUCAGCAAGUAAACAUAACAACAACAAAUAGGACAUUGUAAAUCAACUGUGCUUACACAACCACGUGUUCAGGACUUCUUUCUUUUCUUUUGAACAGUAAAUUGCAGCAAGUAAACAAGUAACUAAAAGAUCAACGUCAAGUAGAAUCACCAUGCACAAGUCCAAAUUAUCCACAUCCACAUAAUAGAUUCAACACCUCUCCCAUGAAUGCACAUGGCUACAAAUGCAAUAAUGACUUCUGCCUCCAUAUCUCUAAGGAUAUGAAGCUGCACCAUACCCCUUCUCGGGCAACAUAUGAUGCUCAAUGUACCGGUACGGUCGGACCAUAAGAUCGCGACGAAACUUCAAUGCAAUGGAUGAUGAGUGCAUUAUGCAUGACAACAUCAUAAGUUCUUCCCAAAUAAAAAUGUGCUAGGCAUUUACUUCCAACCAUUCCACAUAAUAACCACUUGAGUAACAUAAUCAAACCUCAAACUCAACAUAUGAAAUCCAUGAAACAUGAACAUUUUCAAAUGAUGGUACUCAAAAGAAAAUAUGAAUUUGAACAUGAUAGCACAACAUAAACAAGUAUAAGACUCCUCAUCUGACAGACGGAAUAACCAUCACUGUUUUACUUAACUUCACCGAAGUUUGGGCAAAAUCCCUAAGAACGAUCCGGAAGUCCACCACCUGUUUUUGACACCCAACUUAGUGCACCAAAUUCACAUAAAAAAAACUCAAAGACAACACCGCACCUACGCGCAAUCUCAACCCCGCCGCGGUAACAAUUCUCCCCUCACUAACCAAACUGCAGCGGCGCUGCUUAACAAUUCCAUAACUUAAAAAUUAGGACAGCAGUGGUGUCAAACAAAAACUUCAGAGACAACUACAUAAAAUUUCCCACAAGUUUUGUAUACGACUCAUGAUUAAAUUCUAACAUCUAAUUACCUCUAAACGGUCCACAAAAAUAAACCCUGCAAUCUGUUUUUUUCUGAUUUGGGCAGCGACAUACUCGGAUUCAAACAGCGAUAACUUUUAAAAUAUAAUUCCGAUUUGAGCGCAUAAGUACUUGUUGGAAAGAUAAGAAAAAGCCCUACAUGAGUCUCAUACUGAUUAACACUAAUUACUCCCGAAAAAUCCCCAGAAACUGCUAAUACUGCUGCUGUUCAUCACUCUGAAAAAUCUGUUUUUUUGGACAGCCACACACCCGGAUUCAAAUGAUGAUAACUAUUAAUUUAUAACUCCAAAUUGAGCGCAUAAAUACUCGUUGGAAAGGUAAAACAAUGUUCUACAAGAUCCCCAAAUUGAUCCCCAUUAAUUCUUCACGAAAAAACCCUAAAAACUGCUAGAACUUCCGCUGUUCAUCCACCACGUAAAAUUCUGGACAGCCCCCCUCUAUCUAAUCGCAAACGCAACAUCUAAUCAAUUGAAUCGCAGCGCAAAUGAACAAGGGAUGAACACAAAAAUCACCUUGGGUUCUCCCCCUUUCCUUCCUCCCUUCUUCCCUCCACCAAAACGGUUGGAGAAUCGCACCACGAGUCGACGAUCCGAGCGGCAAGGAUUGGCACCUUGGGAGGAGGGGAUUGAGGGGGGGGCGGCUAGGGUUUGGUGGCUGCAAAAAUUGAGAGAGGAGGUGAUGGGCAGGGGGGGGCGGCGGCCAAGGGGAGGAGGAGAAGUGGGG